rnacentral:rRNA from 1 species
GACGAACGCUGGCGGCGUGCUUAACACAUGCAAGUCGAGCGGUAAGGCCCUUUCGGGGGUACACGAGCGGCGAACGGGUGAGUAACACGUGGGUGACCUGCCCUCAGCUCUGGGAUAAGCCUGGGAAACCGGGUCUAAUACCGGAUAUGACUCCAUGACGCAUGUUGUGGGUGGAAAGCCUUGUGCGGCUGAGGAUGGGCCCGCGGCCUAUCAGCUUGUUGGUGGGGUGAUGGCCUACCAAGGCGACGACGGGUAGCCGGCCUGAGAGGGCGACCGGCCACACUGGGACUGAGACACGGCCCAGACUCCUACGGGAGGCAGCAGUGGGGAAUCUUGCACAAUGGGGGGAACCCUGAUGCAGCGACGCCGCGUGAGCGAUGAAG